AUGUGAGCUUGUGCGUAAUGUAAAAUUUUGCAUAGAACUCUUUGAAGUUCUGAUUGUUGAAUUGUUGACAAUUAUUAAUAAUGAUGGUGUGUGGUAGACUGAAUCUGUAUAUGAUUGACUUCUAAAUAAAGUCUUCUAUCUUACUUUAAGUGAUUUAUGCUAAAAGUUCAGCUUCCAUCUAUUUGAUGAAGUAAUCAAUGGCAACCACUAUG
rnacentral:lncRNA from 1 species